rnacentral:rRNA from 1 species
AGCUCCAAUAGCGUAUAUUAAAGUUGUUGCAGUUAAAAAGCUCGUAGUUGGAUCUCGGGUGCAGGCGGGCGGUCCGGCUCGCGCCGGCUCGCCGCCCGUUGACCUGCCCCACCCCUGCCGGCUCCCUCCCGGCGGUGCUCUUCGCUGAGCGUCCCGGGCGGCCGGCGCGUUUACUUUGAAAAAAUUAGAGUGUUCAAGGCGGGCCCGGUGCGCCCGAAUAACUGCGCAUGGAAUAAUGGAAUAGGACCUCGGUUCUAUUUUGCUGGUUUUCGGAAUCCGAGGUAAUGAUUGAAGGGGACAAACGGGGGCAUUCGUAUUGCGGCGUUAGAGGUGAAAUUCUUGGAUCGCCGCAAGACGGGCUACUGCGAAAGCAUUUGUCAAGAAUGUUUUCA